AGUACUUCCCAGCGUAAAUUGCAAGUGGUCUCGGCCCCAUGGCAAGUCUUGUCAUCAGUGGAGAGGUGAAGACCCUGGACUUGUGUUUUUAAAACAACGGAACGCUGCUAUUGAGAAAGCUCCUGCCCCGGAGGGAGAAUAGGUUUUUCUGGAACCAGGGAAAGCAUCAAGAGCCCAUUUUCCUAUGAGAUGGAUGUUGAGCAAGAAGAUUGGGAGGGAUGUCAACCACCUUCUCGCCUGUACCUGAGAGGAAGAGGAGUAUGUUGAACAGACCCUCACAUACCACCUGGAAAGUGUGCAAUUCUGGACUACCACUAGACGGACUCUUCCAGGUAGGAGACAGCAUUGAAGGAACUGAAGCCAGUGGGCCCAAGUGAUGGAAAUGGGCUGUAUUGGUUUUUUAGUGGCCUGUUUUCUAACAUCAUCAUCUUGCUGGAUAGUUUCUUAAAAAUACUUUCCUCCCAUUGAGCUGUAAAUUGACAAUAAGUACAAAUUCAAAAUCUACAAGGUUGUGGUUCAAGAGUCCUGAAGACAGAUGGGUAAAUGUUGUUUAUGGUGUGUUCCAUUCUUGCAGAAAAAAGUAAACCUAUUAGGUAACUUUUUCACUGCACUUAAAUGAGACAAUUCCCACCCAUUCAUGUCCAGAAGAAUGGAGAGGAAGUUUUUUAUCCGCCCUACCAUAUGUAUAUUUAAACCUA